rnacentral:lncRNA from 1 species
GUGUCUCCUAAGUUAGAGAAAGAAGACAAAUCAAUUUAUUUUGUUUUAAUUUCUGGUGAUAAGAGUUUCAAGGGAGUGCUUUUUCUUUGACUAAAAGGAUUUGGAACCUUUGCAUUCCGACCAGUACCAAUUUGACAUAUCCUUCCUUGGGUUUCAAUUUUGUGGUUGCUUUAUCGGUGGGAGAAAAAGAGGCGUAACACGAAAUCGGAAAAAAUAGAAUCUCUGUGUUGAAUUCAAUUAUGCUGACGGAACCAGAAAAAGAAAAACAGAGGUGUGUGCUCUCAACCCUAAUCGCUUGAAUUCGAUAUCUCUUUUUCUCCCUAUCAAUUUUCAAUCUUCUGCUUUAAUCGAUUCGACCGGUAUCAUCUUCGUGUUUGGUGUUGAUGUUUUGAGCCAAUUUGUUUUUCUUAUUCGUUGCGACGUCGACGGUAAUGGUAACGAUGUUCUUGAAAUUCAAACCCUAGAAAUCUUGAUUUGAAUUGGUGCCAAAAAAAGAUGAUUGCACAGUCACAAGAAAGAGAGAGAUGGUGAUACAAAAUAAAAUAUAAAGCUUUCCGUUCCCGUUCCUGUUCUUGAAAUUCAACCAAGAACGCCCGAUCUCUAUGAAUCUUGGUCAUUCGAACCCUCGAAUUCUGAUUUGAAUUGGUGCCCUAAAAAGAUGACAACGAAGUCACAUACUUUGUUAUUUGGAAUCAAGUUUCUGCUGUCCAUGAUUUGCUUCAUUCCAAAGAGAGGUAUAAAUCUCUCUCUAUUUCAUUUUCAACCCAUUAUCCUUUGGUUUCUGAUCUAUUGAUUCUCUUCUUCUAUUAAGCAAACAUUCUCUGUCUCCAAAACUGUGUUUGACACAAAUGUUUUGGGGUGGGUUUUUGUUUGCAACAUUAACGCACUAUAAUUGAUUAUUCAAGAAUGUAUAAUCUUGAUGAUUCUUGAUUAUUCUUGACUGAGAAGGUUAAUAAAAAUUGAAAAGUUGCAAUAUGUACCCUUAAGAUAAGUCAGUCGCUAUGCUUGGAUGAUCUCAAAUUUAACUAUGAGAUAGAUUCUUGACUUAGAUGUGGCCUACAAAAUGUCGUUUGUAAUAUGAAUUUUGUAUUCAUAUAAAAUUGGCAUAAUAUUUUUUGGAUGACCUGAAAAUUAAUUGAGAUAGAUUUUUUACAGUAAAUGUGGCCUUGAAUAUGAAUUUUUUAUUCAUAUGAAAAGAGAUUGAGAAUUUGAGAUAGUAUGAUUGGAUUGUUUGGAAUUUAAUCACGAGAUAAUUCUUGACCCAAAAUGUGGCUUGCAAUAUGAAUUUUUUAUUCAUAUGAAAUGAAAUUGAGAUAGUAUGAUUGGAAGACCCGAAACUUAAUUACGAGAUGGACCCUUGAUCCAAAAUGUGGCUUGCAAUAUGAAUUUUUUAUUCAUAUGAAAUGAAAUUGAGAUAGUAUGAUUGGAAGACCCGAAACUUAAUUACGAGAUGGACCCUUGAUCCAAAAUGUGGCUUGCAAUAUGAAUUUUUUACCCGUAUGAAAAGAAAUUGAGAUAGUAUUUUUGGAUGACUUGAAAUUUAAUGAGAAGAUAGAAUCUUGACCUUAAAUGUGACCUUCAAUAUGAUUUUUUUAUUAAUAUGAAAUUGAGAUAGUAUUUUAUGAGAUAGAUUCUUAACCAUAAAUGUGGUUUUCAAUAUGAAUUUUUUAUUCAUAUGAAAUGAAAUUGAAAAUUUGAGAUAGUAUGAUUGGAUGACCCAGAGUUAAAUUACGAGAUGAAUUCUUGAUCCAAAAUGUGGCUUGCAAUUUAAAUUUUUUAUUCAUAUGAAAUGAAAUUGGGAUAGUAUGAUUGGAAAACUUGAUAUUUAAAUACAAGAUGAAUUCUUGACCCGAAAUGUGGCUUGCCAUAUGAAUUUUUUAUUUAUAUGAAAUUGGAAUUGGAUCAGCAGUAUUGUGCCUCGAUGAUCUUAGACACAAAUUUAAUAUUUGAGUCUAUAUGACCUUAAAUUCGAUAAAUUGAGAUGACAAUAUUGUGCCUUAAUGACCUUGGGUGGUGUGAUGAAAUUGGGUGGUCCUGUUGAAGCGGCAUCUUGCAAUGCCUUGUUGACGGGCNN